GAUGAAGAACGUAGCGAAAUGCGAUACGUAAUGUGAAUUGCAGAAUUCAGUGAAUCAUCGAGUCUUUGAACGCACAUUGCGCCCUCUGGUAUUCCGGGGGGCAUGCCUGUCCGAGCGUCAUUGCUGCCCUCAAGCACGGCUUGUGUGUUGGGCCCCGUCCUCCGAUCCCGGGGGACGGGCCCGAAAGGCAGCGGCGGCACCGCGUCCGGUCCUCGAGCAUAUGGGGCUUUGUCACCCGCUCUGUAGGCCCGGCCGGCGCUUGCCGAUCAACCCAAAUUUUUUAUCCAGGUUGACCUCGGAUCAGGUAGGGAUACCCGCUGAACUUAAGCAUAUCAAUAAGCGGAGGA
rnacentral:misc_RNA from 1 species